rnacentral:rRNA from 1 species
UCUGCUCAAUGAAUAUUAAAUAGCCGCAAUUAUAUUGUGCUAAGGUAGCAUAAUCAUUUGUCUUUUAAUUAAAGACUAGAAUAAAUGAUUUUACAUUUAAUUUAUUUUUUUUCAUCUAAAUUUUUAAUUUUUUUUAAAUAUAAAAAAACAUUUAUAUAAAAAAAAGACAAAAAGACCCUAUUAAACUUUACUAUAGUUUAACUGGGGAAGUUAAUUAAUUAUAAUUUUAAUUUCUUUAAAUAUAAAAUUCCAAUAUUAUUGAUUAUAACAAGUUACUAUAGGGAUAACAGCGUAAUAUUUUUUAAAGCUCUUAUUUUAAAAAUAAAUUACGACCUCGAUGUUGAAUUAUUUUUUCUAAAAAAAGUAAAAAUUUUUAAAGAAAGUCUGUUCGACUUUUAAUUAAUUACAUGAUCUGAGUUCAAACCGGAG